rnacentral:rRNA from 1 species
UACGGGGGGGGCAAGCGUUGUUCGGAUUUACUGGGCGUAAAGGGCGCGUAGGCGGCGUGACAAGUCACUUGUGAAAUCUCCGGGCUUAACCCGGAGCGGCCAAGUGAUACUGUCGUGCUAGAGUGCGGAAGGGGCUACUGGAAUUCUCGGUGUAGCGGUGAAAUGCGUAGAUAUCGAGAGGAACACCUGCGGCGAAGGCGGGUAGCUGGGCCGACACUGACGCUGAGGCGCGAAAGCCAGGGGAGCGAACGGG